CUCACUGAGACUACUGUGGACUCUUGGUCUUGGAAGCUGAGCUGUUCUGGGCCACAGGAGAGGCACUGCAAAGAGCUCACACCCCUCGGGAGCCUGAUAGGAGAAUUAGCAUCUACAUCCAUCUCUCCUCUUCUUCCCCUUGCAAGUGGUGGGUGAGCAGUUCAGCCAGCUCCACCCUGGAGAUGCCAAUCCGAACCUUACAUCUCUGCCGCCACAGUCCAAGGAACACAGCGACAGCGCAGAGUGUGUGAGCUUUGCCAGCCGAGGGGCACAUCUGCUAUGGCAUCGUUGAGAAACCCUGGGUUUAUUUUACAUGGAUGAGUGUUUUGUCUGUCUGUCUGUCUGUGCACUAUAUAAGUGCAGUGCCUAUGGAGGCCAGAAGGAGGCGUUGGACCCCUUGAGCUGCGUUGUGAGACACCCACUAACCUGACUGGCUCUUAUCAAGAUGUGAAUAGAAGAGGACCUGGCCAGUGUUUAUGAAGAUUUCCUGAUACCCAAGAAGAGGGACAUGACACCAAGACUUGAAACUAAAGCUCUAGCCAGGAAACCACAGUUAAUUAGUGUGAACCACACUGGUUCAGUGAAGACAUCUGUGCAAGUCUGAUGACCUAAAUUCAGUUCUCAGAAUUCAUAUAAAGGUGGAAGGAGAGAAUUUAUUUCACAAAGAUCUUCACUGACUGCCAAAUGUGUGCUGUGGCAUGCACACGUAAACACACAUCAGAAGCAUAUUCAAUAGUAAUAAAUAAAAACGUAAGGAGUUAAAAAUAAAAAUCUUUACAAGAAAAUACAGGAAAACGAUUUGAUUUUUAGGGGAUCACCUCUUAUUCUUGUUGUUAUUAUUCUCCUCUUCUUUAUCUUCUUCUUAUAUUGUUUGUUUUUUGGAAAAAUUUUAUUUGCUUAU